ACCGCCCGGGAAUUACGAGCAUAAGCUUAAAACCCAAAGGACUUGACGGUGUCCCACCCUCCUAGAGGAGCCUGUUUUAUAAUCGACACUACCCGAUAUACCCAACUGUUUUUUGAUUAUCAGCCUGUAUACCUCCGUCGCAAGCUUACCAUGUGAAUGACUCACAGCAAGCCCAAUGGAUAUUAUCCAAAACGUCAGGUCAAGGUGCAGCCUACAUAGCAGACAAAAAUGGGCUACAAUUUCUAUGUUAGAACAAACGAAAGGCCUCAUGAAACCUAGCCAAGAAGGCGGAUUUAGUAGUAAAAAGAAAAUAGAGAGUUCUUUUUAACAAAGCAAUGGGACGUGUACAAACCGCCCGUCACCCUCUUCAACACAAACUAAUAAGUAUAUAACACAUUUAUACAAAACAGAA
rnacentral:rRNA from 1 species